rnacentral:sRNA from 1 species
GUAUUGAAUGCCUAAGACAGCAGGUGCCGCAAGGCGUAAGGCGUAACCGCCUGCCGAGGAACGUACAAAACUCAAGCUUUUUUGUGAUGAGAUUUUGCAGACCUCUCUGUCUUUAUGGCGGAGAGGUUUUUU